CUGCCAUAAGUUAACUCCCUCCCUGUAGAUCUGCCACAGGAGGUGGGAGUGUGGUGGCAUAUCUGCUGUGGGUGUGCAGCCACCUAACCCCAUGGGACUGCUGGUGUAAAUGAUGACUAAAUUUUUUCCCCAUCAGAGCGACAGUGUUGAUUUCUUGCUGUUCCAAGCCAGAUCGUGUCUGAUGCACCAGUGGGGAAGUGUUGCUGUGUCCCACAGCUCUGGUAUGGCCUGGUGUUAACUGUUCCUUUUCUUUUUAUUUAUAGGGUGCUGCAAAGGCUCUGGGGUAUUGAGCCUCUGGGAGACGAGAUGUGGUGGCUGUAGCUGGUAGUGAUCAGUUGUGUGAUGAGGGCAGUGGCCUAGUUUGCUUGACCACAUGAGCCCCUGCAUCAGGGGAGAUUGAAUGGUUGAGAUUUGUCAGAAGUUGUCCUGGGACCUGCUGUGAUUUCAGUGCACUAGCAGAAAGCUGUCUUCUGCUAAUGAUGUCCCUCUCCAUGCUGAUGCCUGUGAUCACUUGUCCAAGCUACAGCAUUCACAUCACCCUGCCAGCAGCUCUGGUCUUUUCUCAGAGCUAGCAGGAGUGAUAGAUUGGUGUCCUGCCAACUUACAGACAGAGGGUGUUACAUUUUUCUUUCCCUUGGUAUGAGGCAUUUAACUGUCAUGGUUUCUGGAACUUGCUGCAUGUUUAAUGUAAUUGGAUGUUUUUGUCUCCAAGGGCUGCAUUCUAAGGGCUGACGGCUAAUACGGCCCUACCACAACCAUUAAAAGUAAAGAAGCUUUUCCUCAGAGAGCAGUUGUCAAGUUGGGAAGGAUGGCCUGCUGUGUUAAGGAGGGUGGGAUUCAAGUCUUGGCUCUCCCCUGUUAUCCAGGAAAAUUUAGUGAUGUAUCAUUGGCAGCCUAUAAAGUGGGGAAGGGGCAGCUUGGAUGCUGCAGCACAGUGUCAUUUCUGUACUGUUUAGAACCUGUUUUUAAUAAAAUCUGAGUACUAGAUGAA